rnacentral:rRNA from 1 species
CCUACGGGAGGCAGCAGUGAGGAAUAUUGGUCAAUGGACGAGAGUCUGAACCAGCCAAGUAGCGUGAAGGAUGACUGCCCUCCGGGUUGUAAACUUCUUUUAUAUGGGAAUAAAACGAGGCACGUGUGCCUUUUUUCAUGUACUUUAUGAAUAAGGAUCGGCUAACGCCGUGCCAGCAGCCGCGGUAAUACGGAGGAUCCGAGCGUUAUCCGGAUUUAUUGGGUUUAAAGGGAGCGUAGAUGGGUUGUUAAGUCAGUUGUGAAAGUUUGCGGCUCAACCGUAAAAUUGCAAUUGAUACUGGAAGUCUUGAGUACAGGUGAGGUAGGCGGAAUUCGUGGUGUAGCGGUGAAAUGCUUAGAUAUCACGAAGAACCCCGAUUGCGAAGGCAGCUGACUAAACUGUGACUGACAUUGAUGCUCGAAAGUGUGGGUAUCAAACAGGAUUAGAUACCCCAGUAGUC